GACGAACGCUGGCGGCGUGCUUAACACAUGCAAGUCGAACGGAAAGGCCCUGCCUUUGUGGGGUGCUCGAGUGGCGAACGGGUGAGUAACACGUGAGUAACCUGCCCUUGACUUUGGGAUAACUUCAGGAAACUGGGGCUAAUACCGGAUAGGAGCUCCUGCUGCAUGGUGGGGGUUGGAAAGUUUCGGCGGUUGGGGAUGGACUCGCGGCUUAUCAGCUUGUUGGUGGGGUAGUGGCUUACCAAGGCUUUGACGGGUAGCCGGCCUGAGAGGGUGACCGGCCACAUUGGGACUGAGAUACGGCCCAGACUCCUACGGGAGGCAGCAGUGGGGAAUAUUGCACAAUGGGCGGAAGCCUGAUGCAGCAACGCCGCGUGCGGGAUGACGGCCUUCGGGUUGUAAACCGCUUUCGCCUGUGGCGAAGCGUGAGUGACGGUAAUGGGUAAAGAAGCACCGGCUAACUACGUG
rnacentral:rRNA from 1 species